rnacentral:lncRNA from 1 species
GCUCUUAUUCCUCUUGAGAAUAUUCUCCCAAUUAGCAUUUUCUUUGAUCAACUUUUAGAUAUUUGUUUGAUAUUUGCUUCUCUCUCUGUCUUUCAUAGAUCACAACCAUUUAAACAAUGCAGCUUUAUCUCCUCUGGGUCCAGCCAUGGCUUUGUCUCACCCUCACAACAACCUGGGAAUUGGCUUCAACAAGUACGCCUCACUCAAGGCUGUGGACACAACUCCAAGAGACUACUACAAGAGCUACCCAAUGGUAGACUACACCCACCGCCAGUCCCCUCCCACCUUCCAGCCUAUCAACUUCCACCCCAAGGACAAGCCCUUCCUCCCACCACCAGAUGUCCAUGCACCUUUAGCGAUUACCAUCAACGCCUCCCAGAUCCCCAAACCUAAGAUCUCCAAGACCAACACUCACCCACUCACCUCCAGCUCAGCCUUCAAAGCUUGGGACCCAAGUAAGAGCCACAUUCAGCACCCGGCAGCCUCCCACAUGGGCCUUGGUGGGCAGCAGCAUCACCCUAUCCAACAGCAGCAGCACCAGACACUGCACCAACAGAACAGCCGGCGCCAGGCCUACUCCAACAAGAGGCAGUUCAGCAUUGAAACGCUGCCCGAGCUCUUCUCGCAGCCGCUGGGCUACGGUCAUUCGCCGCAUAUGCACCCCAAGCACAAGGGACUGGCCACUAACAGCAAAACAGAGGUCACUGUGUGAACAUGGGGCAGGAUUGAUGAACAGACAGAAGACAAAAAUGGAGCAGUAGAGGGGAAACGUUCUAAUAUCUUUUAUAUCCUCAGUUAUAAUGGUGUGCUGGAGCAAGCAAAUAUCGUAUCUGGAAUUUUUUUAACUCUGCAUUUUCCUUGUCAUUGUUACCAAGAAUAACAAUAAUGUGAGUGAUAUUUGUGUACUUUUACGACCACUGGAGCAAAACAGAUAAGUUGCAGAUAAGCUGUGAAGGUGGUGGAUUAGUGGAUUAUUUGCUGUGACUCUUUGAACCCAGCAGCGCCUCUAAAUAAUUGAGUGGCAGUUGGCACAGCUCUCUCCUCUCAAGCCCCUUGUACCUCGGUGACAUUUGCUCAGGUGCGGAGUGCCCUUCCAUUAUGUACAAAUGUCCAAAUUCUACUCAUACAUGCUAUUUACCCCUCAAACUAGCCCAGACUCUGACACUGUCAGGAGAGGAGGGUAGACGAGUGUGUCCUCCAAGAUUCUAGCUUCUCAUCAGUAGACACAAUGCCAUUGUGUU